rnacentral:rRNA from 1 species
UUGAACGCUGGCGGCAGGCCUAACACAUGCAAGUCGAGCGGAUGAAGGGAGCUUGCUCCUGGAUUCAGCGGCGGACGGGUGAGUAAUGCCUAGGAAUCUGCCUGGUCGUGGGGGAUAACGUCCGGAAACGGGCGCUAAUACCGCAUACGUCCUGAGGGAGAAAGUGGGGGAUCUUCGGACCUCACGCUAUCAUAUGAGCCUGGGUCGGAUUAGCUAGUCGGUGGGGUAAAGGCCUACCAAGGCGACGAUCCGUAACUGGUCUGAGAGGAUGAUCAGUCACACUGGAACUGAGACACGGUCCAGACUCCUACGGGAGGCAGCAGUGGGGAAUAUUGGACAAAGGGCGAAAGCCUGAUCCAGCCAUGCCGCGUGUGUGAAGAAGGUCUUCGGAUUGUAAAGCACUUUAAGUUGGGAGGAAGGGCAGUAAGUGAAUACCUUGCUGUUUUGACGGUACCAACAGAAUAAGCACCGGCUAACUUCGUG